CAAAUAUCUAUUCAAGGGUGGAGGAAAAAAACCAUAGGAUGGAAUCACAGAGUUGCUGACCCUACUGGCGAAUCUGAUCACCAAACUCAUUCCGGGCAAGACGCACCCAUCUGUUCAACUGCCAGACACGGCUCCCAGCACUCUCAGCGGGUAAUCUCCAGAUCUCCAUCCGAUCGUCCUACAGACUCCCCCAGGGAUGCUCUUGUUUGCUCAAGUCUGAGUCCCCCAACACCCUCAUUCCCAUCACCACCCUCUUUGAACUCCAGAACGCGUUCCUCAGCCUUUGCUGAGAACCUCUGAAUUUGCUCUUAGCUGCAUUAAAGACAACCGAAUCGACUGGCUCUCCCAAGCAACUCUUUCCUUUAGCAAAGAAUAGGAGUUCUGAUCGGCUUCGGACAAAAUGCUUUGCACAGAACAGCUGCUCGCUGGGAACCUUCCUGCUGUCUGGGUUCCGACUUCCGAGGGAGCGCCGGAUGUGGACUACAUUUCCCAGAAGUCUCAGGAGCACAGCGCUUUCGGGCGCUGGGCGAGUUUGCGGGUGGAGAGCGUUUUCUCGGACCCAGUUCCCAGUUCCGGGCUGUUUCCCGGCUCUCAUGUCCCGUAAGCUUCUGUGUCCACACACACAUCGGACUUUGGAGUCCCUUUCCUGUGUUCUCAAGUUCUUGGACCACGAGUGGUGAGUCGGUCGCGUUUGAGGAGGUAAUCGGCGCCGGGGGAGAGUGGUAGGGCUUCUCCGAGGUCCCCAACCGAGCCCGAUCUGAACUGGCCCUGAGUGUGACGGUGGUGGCCCCGGCAGGCGCUGGAGAUAAAAAGGCUGGCAUAGGACAUCCCGUGCCCGGAGCUUCAAGCAUACCUCAACAGCUGAGCGGCAUAGUGUGUGGCAGGUGGCGUUUCGGGGCUGAGGGGGGGGUGUUCGUGACUGUGGACGCGGUUGAGAAUGUAUGACUGGGGUGGGCUGUAUGGUCUUAUUCCUAGGUAUAGUUUGCUUUUGCCCUGUGCUCAGGGCAACCUCGAGGCUGUCUUUGGCUCUGCCACAAUUACAUGACCCCAGAAAACAAGUCUCUACUAAGCCCAGGACAGUAGGGGCGAAUCUGGGGCACGCGUGGAGCAGCAGGCUGUUUGUAGCCUUGAAAAUUCCAAAAAAAGUUCGUCGUCACUGUCCAAGGUUGUAUGUUUCACUGAAAGUAUCCUCGUGACAAACUCCUGGGAAGACAGAACCUAGAGGAUCUUAGAGAUGGGAUUCCUAGAAAAGGUGCCUCUACAAGCUCUUUAGGUGCCAGCUACAUGUUUUCAUAGUCACUGCAACUAGAUUGCUAUUCCUGAGAAUUGCUGUCAACUCAGAGACAGACUCCAGCUGCUUUUUGAAAUGUGUGGAUGAAGAUAGAUACGGCCCUAAGUGUGUUUUCUUUUUCUUUCUUUCUUUCUUUCACAAGAAAAAAGAGACACGCUGGCAACUCAUGAUUUCUCCCCAGGGCUGUCAGGUUCCCAAGAGGACAUGGAGGAGGAGGAAAGAAUUUUUGCCUAUUUGUAAAUCAAGGGUUCUGAGUUUCUUUUUUAUUCAUAUAAUUAUUUUUUCUUCUAGGUGAUGAGAGCAGUACUUCCUUUGGCCCAAGAUACCUUGACUCUAUGGUCUAUUCUGAGUUUCCCUCCUGGAGAAUGACUCACUAUCCUACAUCCUUUUCCUCAGUGACUUUGAAUGUACAGGGGGCUUCCCUGUCACAGAGGAGAAUCUGGACCAAAGGAGAAUCUUGUCAGUGAAAAUGUCUCAUUGUAUUGCUGAGUGACAGCUACAGGAUGAUCAGAUGAUCGAGACCUGGACUGGCACACAAGAAAAAUUAGUGGCCCAGAAGAUAUAGAGAGAAAGAAGUUAAAAUCACACAUCUAAUUAUUCU